GUCGAGCGAGCUGAAUUCAAAGAUCCCUUCGGGGUGAUUUGUUGGACGCUAGCGGCGGAUGGGUGAGUAACACGUGGGCAAUCUGCCCUAAAGACUGGGAUACCACUUGGAAACAGGUGCUAAUACCGGAUAACAACAUGAAUCGCAUGAUUCAAGUUUGAAAGGCGGCGCAAGCUGUCACUUUAGGAUGAGCCCGCGGCGCAUUAGCUAGUUGGUGGGGUAAAGGCCUACCAAGGCAAUGA
rnacentral:rRNA from 1 species